UUUCUUUGAAGUUUACUAAUGUUUGUUCAAAAAUGUGCUCAAGCAUAAUUAAAAUAUGCUAACAAUUGCUUUAAAUAUGCUGAGCUCUGGGAAAUGUGUUUACCACAAUGUCGUCAGGAGUGAAUAUCACAAUUUUGAAAAAGUGAAUCACAUAAUAAUUAAGAAUUUAUCAUUAAUUAAUAACACACUCAUAAGUCGUUGCUCUCUGACAAGUAUUAACCCACACAUAUGUAACAACUUAAAAAGAAAAAGUAUUCACACAGGAUGCAAGUUUGAUUCAACAUAUAAAAAAUAUUUUCAUUUACUUAAAGAUUAUAUUGAUGAAAAGAAAAACCAAAAUGAUUAUGAUGUGAACGACAAAAAAGAAUACUACCAUGUGGACGAUAAUAGUACUAGUAACGACUGUGGUUAUACUUAUAAUGGUGGUAACACUGGUAGUAAUAACAACAAGAUUCGAAUUUAUAAAAAAAACAAUAUAGACUACGUAUUAAUAAAUUUUAAUUUGUAUAAAUGUUUAAAAAAUAUUUUUAGUUUAAUAAACGAAAUAAAUUGGUCACUAAUUCGAGAUAUAUCAUUACAAAACAAAAAUAAAAAAUCACUUAAAAUUGUACAAAAUAAUGUUCAUAUAAAUGAUAAUAUUUAUUUGUUUUAUGUACAAGUGGUGAGAAACAUAUACCCAAAUGAUAACGUAUCAGAUGUUUGUGCAAAUGAAGACAUACAGAACAAAAUAAAAAAUUGUUUGGAAAGCCAAAAUUUUAAUAAAUUACUAAUAUCUAUUAAAAACUUAGAAUUUUAUACCCUAUCAUCUUUUUUUUAUAUAUACAAAAAAAUUAUAAAAAAUUGUCAUAACUCAGAUAACCAUUUGGAAAAUAUUUUUUUUUUUAAAAAAAUUGAUGAUUUUGUUUUAAAAAAUUUAUGUAUACAUAUACAUAAUAAUAUUAUUAGAAAUAAUACAAAGAGUGUCAAUGAAAAAAAAGAAAAAGAUUAUAUGUUACAAAAAAGCAACUCGAAUAGUAAAAUAAAUUAUAUUCGUAUGUAUAGAGAAAAUUUAAAUAUAUUAAAAAUUUUAAGUGAGGAAAAAUAUAUAUACAUUGAUUUUAUUGAUUUUAUAUUAUAUACUCAAUUUUAUGCAUUUUUUAAACAUAGUGAUUACUGCAAUUAUUUUUAUUCAAUUAGUUUACUUCAAAUAAUAAAUGAAAUUAUUUUUUUUCAAUUACAUUUUUUUCAUACUUCCUAUGAAAGUGAAAAAGAAAAAAAAGCACAAAAUUACGACGCCGUGCUCACUUUAUUAGAUAACAACUAUUUAUACACACAAAAAGAAAAUCAUACUUAUAAUUAUAUUGAAAAGAGUUAUGAAGACAUAGAGAGGGGUGUCCACUUUUUUACUAAAAAUUUAGACAGUGUGGUUCAAAACAUAAGUGAUGAUAAUGGCGUUAGUAGUAUAAACAGUAUGAAUAACACAAAUUGUGAUAAAUUAACGGAACAACAGUUUGCUCACAUGCACUCUCACUCAAUUGAAGCUAAUAACUCUAGCAAACAAAAUAAACCAAACACAAACACGUUUUAUAAUAUUAUAAACUUAACAAAUAUGGAGUAUGAAAAUAUACAAACAACUAUGGAAC
ensembl:lncRNA